rnacentral:tRNA from 1 species
UCCCUGGAGGACUAGCGGUUAGGCCUCGGCGUUCUCACCGCCGCGGCCCGGGUUUGAUUCCCGGCCAGGGAA